rnacentral:lncRNA from 1 species
UGCAAUAGGUCUACUAUAUUUGUUGUAUGGAAUGAUUGUAAGGUGUACCUAUCUAGCGGGCAAAUGUCAUGUGACCUUGACCUCAUUUUCAUGGUUCAGUGGUCAAAGUUAAGUUUUUGAGUUUUGGUCUUUUUAUCUAAUACUAUAUGCCAUAGGUCAUCUAUAUUUGGUGUAUGGAAAUAUUUUAUGAUCUUUAUGUCAGUCGCGCAGGUUUUAUUUGACCGUGACCUCAUUUUCACGGUUCAUUGCACAGUGUUAAGUUUUUGUGUUUUGGUCUAUUUUUCUUAAACUAUAAGUAAUAGGUCAACUAUAUAUGUUGUAUAGAAGC